rnacentral:rRNA from 1 species
ACGGAGGGUGCAAGCGUUAAUCGGAAUUACUGGGCGUAAAGCGCGCGUAGGCGGUUUGUUAAGUCAGAUGUGAAAUCCCCGGGCUCAACCUGGGAAUGGCAUUUGAGACUGGCAGGCUAGAGUAUGGUAGAGGUGAGUGGAAUUUCAGGUGUAGCGGUGAAAUGCGUAGAGAUCUGAAGGAACAUCAGUGGCGAAGGCGACUCACUGGGCCAUUACUGACGCUGAGGUGCGAAAGCGUGGGUAGCAAACAGG